GAAAGGAAGAUUAAUACCCCAUAAUAUAUUGACUGGCAUCAGUUGAUAUUGAAAACUCCGGUGGAUAGAGAUGGGCACGCGCAAGAUUAGAUAGUUGGUAGGGUAACGGCCUACCAAGUCAGUGAUCUUUAGGGGGCCUGAGAGGGUGAUCCCCCACACUGGUACUGAGACACGGACCAGACUCCUACGGGAGGCAGCAGUGAGGAAUAUUGGACAAUGGGUGAGAGCCUGAUCCAGCCAUCCCGCGUGAAGGACGACGGCCCUAUGGGUUGUAAACUUCUUUUGUAUAGGGAUAAACCUACUCUCGUGAGAGUAGCUGAAGGUACUAUACGAAUAAGCACCGGCUAACUCCGUGCCAGCAGCCGCGGUAAUACGGAGGGUGCAAGCGUUAUCCGGAUUUAUUGGGUUUAAAGGGUCCGUAGGCGGAUCUGUAAGUCAGUGGUGAAAUCUCAUAGCUUAACUAUGAAACUGCCAUUGAUACUGCAGGUCUUGAGUAAGGUAGAAGUAGCUGGAAUAAGUAGUGUAGCGGUGAAAUGCAUAGAUAUUACUUAGAACACCAAUUGCGAAGGCAGGUUACUAUGUCUUAACUGACGCUGAUGGACGAAAGCGUGGGGAGCGAACAGGAUUAGAUACCCUGGUAGUCCACGCCGUAAACGAUGCUAACUCGUUUUUGG
rnacentral:rRNA from 1 species